UACGUAGGGUUCAAGCGUUGUCCGGAAUUACUGGGCGUAAAGAGCUCGUAGGCGGUUUGUUGCGUCUGCUGUGAAAACCCGGGGCUCAACCCCGGGCUUGCAGUGGAUACGGGCAGACUAGAGUUCGGUAGGGGAGACUGGAAUUCCUGGUGUAGCGGUGAAAUGCGCAGAUAUCAGGAGGAACACCGGUGGCGAAGGCGGGUCGCUGGGCCGAUACUGACGCUGAGGAGCGAAAGCGUGGGGAGCGAACAGG
rnacentral:rRNA from 1 species